rnacentral:rRNA from 1 species
GACGAACGCUGGCGGCGUGCUUAACACAUGCAAGUCGAACGGAAAGGCCCUGCUUUUGUGGGGUGCUCGAGUGGCGAACGGGUGAGUAACACGUGAGUAACCUGCCCUUGACUUUGGGAUAACUUCAGGAAACUGGGGCUAAUACCGGAUAGGAGCUCCUGCUGCAUGGUGGGGGUUGGAAAGUUUCGGCGGUUGGGGAUGGACUCGCGGCUUACCAGCUUGUUGGUGGGGUAGUGGCUUACCAAGGCUUUGACGGGUAGCCGGCCUGAGAGGGUGACCGGCCACAUUGGGACUGUGAUACGGCCCAGACUCCUACGGGAGGCAGCAGUGGGGAAUAUUGCACAAUGGGCGGAAGCCUGAUGCAGCAACGCCGCGUGCGGGAUGACGGCCUUCGGGUUGUAAACCGCUUUCGCCUGUGACGAAGCGUGAGUGACGGUAAUGGGUAAAGAAGCACCGGCUAACUACGUG